rnacentral:misc_RNA from 1 species
AAGCAGUAAAGACAUGGUUACUAAGGAGUUGGAGAAUUGCUAGCAGAGUUAAUUGGUUGAAAGAAUCUGACAUGUGAUUGAAGUCUAUCAGUUGAAAAUAGUUAUGUGAAAAUAUCAAAAUAAAGAUAAUUUAGAUAUUAUAUUUUUCUAAUUUGUCUACUUUCGACUAGCACAGAAAAGAGUUGCAAAGGAGUUGGAGAUUUUGCCUGCAGAAUUUAAA